rnacentral:lncRNA from 1 species
AUUGAAUACCACAAUCAAUAUAUUAUUUUUAAUUAUUUCUUGUAAUGAUUACCAUAAUGUUGAUUCAAAUUAUUACCAAAUAAAACCAAAUUUCAAAAGAAGUGAUCAAUCAUUCAUUAAUUGCUUAUGGGCAUUUUCCAAGGAAAUCACAUGCAUCACUUCUCUCAUUUUAUUCACGUGCACCCUCUUUUUCCUUUUUUCCAUUCCUUCCUUUUUUCUUUUGUUUUUCUUUUUCCUUUUUUCUUCUUUUGUUUUUUUUUUCUUUUCUCUUUUAUUCUUUUUCUCUUAUUCUUUUUUUUAUCCAUUUUUUCCUCUUCUUCCUUUUUUUUAUUUUUCUUUUUUCCGUUUUUCAUGUUCUUUUUUUUCUUUCCUUUUUACUUUUUUUUUCUUUUAAAAAUUUUUUGCUUUUUUUUAUUCUUUCUUCGUUUCUUUUUUUU